GGGAGAGGAGGGAGGUUGAUCAGUAAUCUUCAUGAGCCCCAAUAUUCUUCUCGGGAUUGGUGGUAAAAAGACCUUUAAUUAUCCUAUAAAUACCCUUUAACACUCCCAAUCUAUACACCUACACAACCCCCCCCCCCCACCUCUCUCUCUAUCUUUCUCUCUCUUCUACUCUCAGCCUCUUCUAGUCCUUUCCCUUUUUUCCUAGGGUUUCUGAUGGAAGGUGAAGCUUCUAUGGCAUAAUAAUAUUUCAGCAAGAGUGACUCUCUUUGUAUUCUUCCACAGCUUUCUUGAACUGCAUCUCUUAGAUCGUUUGUUGUGUGACACAACAAAAUUCGUUGUCUUUGCGGUUCAAUAAAGCUGUGGGAAGAUACAGACAUGGUCAGUAUAUAAUUCAAGAUCCAGAUCCGAUUCAUAUCAAUAUUCAAAAGACUUAGAGCUUAAAGAAUCUCGCUCGAGAUCCGAAACUCGAUUCUAAAUUGAUAGAACUAUUUACAGGUGCAUUGGGCCAAGCCUGUCAGGGAGGGUUUGCGGUGAGCAUAGUCUAGUCUGGCCUGACAGACUUAGUGCCUUGGUGGGUUGUCAAAGGGCACGAAUGCUAAGUUGCUUUUGGUUACCAAAAUAAAAUUGACAUCUUUACUUCUAUAAUCUCUGUUUUUUUUUAGAUAAAUCUGAGAUUUUAUUAAGACUAAAUCAAA